GAACCGUACGAACGUUAUUCGGAAUCACUGGGCUUAAAGGGUGCGUAGGCGGCCUGGUAAGUUGGGUGUGAAAUCCCUCGGCUCAACCGAGGAACUGCGCCCAAUACUGUCAGGCUUGAGGGAGAUAGAGGUGAGCGGAACUGAUGGUGGAGCGGUGAAAUGCGUUGAUAUCAUCAGGAACACCAGUGGCGAAGGCGGCUCACUGGAUCUCUUCUGACGCUGAGGCACGAAAGCUAGGGGGUAGCGAACGGGAUUAGAUACCCCGGUAGUCCUAGCUGUAAACGAUGAGCACUGGAUCGGAGUCCCCCCCCCUCCACAGGAUUCCGAUCGUAGCGAAAGUGUUAAGUGCUCCGCCUGGGAGUAUGGUCGCAAGGCUG
rnacentral:rRNA from 1 species